rnacentral:lncRNA from 1 species
AUUGUAGUAGGAGUGAUAGAUCUGGAUUCGUCGGCACCUUUUCCCCAGACUGCAAAUUAGGGCUCCUCCUGAGUGUCAGAAGAAUCAGUGGAUCUAUUCUUAGAUCUGAGUAAGCUAGUGAGUAGAAUGAAUCAAGCUAAAUUGCGACAAAAAUUGAUGGCUUCAGGUCUACAAUAGAGUUGAUUUCGAAGUCGGAAUUGUCCGUUUGUGCUUAAUUUGAAACCCUCGCCGGCCGGACGUUCACACCACCAGGAUUAGUAGUAGUAUAGUACAGCUAGUGUCUCUGCUGUCUCGAUCUCUGCGCCGGCGUUGUCCCGGUCUUUUUUUUAGUUACUAGCUUGAUUGAUAGGUAGUUGGGAAUGACGUCGGAGCAUCGGAAGUGGAGAAUCGUUGUUCAGUACUAACGAUUAUCGAUCUCAACUAUUGGUUGCCGUUUGCAUAAAAUUGGCGAAAAAAUAUUCUAUG